rnacentral:lncRNA from 1 species
UUAAAUGAAAGCAUACGGUUUGUAGUGUUCUGCAAGAUUCUAUAAGUAAGGUGCUUUUUUACUUCUUUCAAGAUUGUUUAUCUUUGAUUUUCUUAAGUUUGAAUAUUGUCGUGCAUUGCUAUAAAGAAAUACCCGAGACUGGGUAAUUUAUAAAGAAAAGAGGUUUAAUUGGCUUAUGGUUCUGCAGGCUUUACAGGAAGUAUGGUACUGGCAUCUGCUUGUCUU